GCUUUGGAUGCUCCUCUACUCCCGUGCAGUGCUUUUGGGGAUCUGCCCUGCUUUCUCCAUUUCCAGGCAGGCUGUGUUCUUAAGGUGACGUGGCAGGAGAGCUGCAGAUAGAAGGGAAAAGGACCAGCCGUGCUCAUGGGAUGGCAGAAAAUAGGAUCCAUUCAGGACAGUGGAUCAUAAGCUCUUUGGAUGAAGAGGUGUCUCCUAUUAUUCUUUUUACCCUGUUGCCUGGCAAACACUACGUACUCAAUAUCUGCUGAAUGAUGAGUGAAUGGGAUCCAUUCCCCGAGGAGCCUGGACUUUGCUGAAGGCAUGCUGCACCCUCCACUCGGAGUUUCCCCCUGGGAGAUACCCAGUGAACGUUCUUGAGUCUGAUGAAAAGGAGGCCAGAAUCCAUCAAACCCAAAGAGUUCCCUUGUCUCUACCCCCAUCACUGGGAUUUCAGCUCCAUCUAAUUCCUUGCCCAGACAUAACAGUGUCCCUCUGGACCCCCGCCUCUCUCUCCACACAAGAACAGAAGUUCUACAGCAUCCUUUUGCCUGCACAACUUCCUCUGUGGAAUCCCAAAGAAAGAGCCUGGGCGGAUGGAAAGUGAUUUAUAAUCCAGAGUGCGGUUUCUUUCACUGUUGGUUCCGGUUUCCUGCCUCAGGAAUCACUCUGCAUAUUAGCACUACACUGAUGACAUUCAAAACAGGUGCAACUGCCUAUAGAACAGCUGCCUCGGCCCACUGAAAGCGGCAAGCGGAGACCCCGGGUGCGUGAACCCUCCUUCUGAUAAGCUUCAGAGCAAGUAAAAUCAUCAUUAAAGGAAAAUUGACUUGUAAGGACUGCAAGAUUCUAGUCACUGCAUCUAACCACAAAGAAAAGUGAGGCGGCAGCGGCCGAGGGAGUCUUCUUUAAGAACACAUUCAGUAGAGUAACACAAAGGAAUUGCCAUCACAAGAGAGAAGCAAGGCACAGCUUCCAGAUGCCAAGAAGGCAGACAGAAUUCUCCUGCAUGGGGGGGGAGGGGUUUCCAGCUUAGAGUGGACACCUAGGAGGGAUCACAGCCCUGAAGGGCAUUUCCAGAGAGGUGUGGAUGGGGGUAAGAUCAUGCUUUCAAAAUACAGGAGGGCUGGGAGUUCAUGUUAGGGAACAAAAUGAACCCCAAGAGGUUGUAGGACAUCAGGCUUGAAGCUGGUAUAGCUGUCAUUAGAUCUCCCAUGAUUUGGGGACCUGAGGGGUAAUUUGUAAAAUUCCUUCUAUUUAAGACACAAUGCCUUGCAAAGCUUCA